rnacentral:rRNA from 1 species
AGGGUUUGAUCAUGGCUCAGGACGAACGCUGGCGGUGCGCCUUAUGCAUGCAAGUCGAGCGAAGCUUUUCAGUAGUUUACUACAGAAAAUGACUGAGCGGCGAACGGGUGAGUAACGCGUGAGCAACCUACCUUAGUUACUGGGAUAGCCCGAGGAAACUCGGAUUAAUACCGGAUAUUCUUAAUUUAUCACAUGAUUUUUUAAGGAAAGGUCAGCCGAACUAAGAUGGGCUCGCGUUCUAUCAGCUAGUUGGUAGGGUAAUGGCCUACCAAGGCUACGACGGAUAGCUGGUCUGAGAGGACGAUCAGCCACACUGGGACUGAGACACGGCCCAGACUCCUACGGGAGGCUGCAGCAGGGAAUAUUGCGCAAUGAGCGAAAGCUUGACGCAGCGAUACCGCGUGUGGGAUGACGGAUCUAGGUUUGUAAACCACUUUCAGGAGGGAAGAAAAUGACGGUACCUCCACAAGAAGCCCCGGCCAACUACGUGCCAGCAGCCGCGGUAAUAC